rnacentral:rRNA from 1 species
CUACGGGAGGCACCAGUGAGGAAUAUUGCACAAUGGGGGGAACCCUGAUGCAGCAACGCCGCGUGGAGGAUGACGCAUUUCGGUGUGUAAACUCCUUUUAUAUGUCAAGAAAAUGACGGUAGCAUAUGAAUAAGCACCGGCUAACUCCGUGCCAGCAGCCGCGGUAAUACGGAGGGUGCAAGCGUUACUCGGAAUCACUGGGCGUAAAGGACGCGUAGGCGGGUUGGAAAGUCAGGUGUGAAAUCCUACAGCUUAACUGUAGAACUGCACUUGAAACUUCUAAUCUAGAGUAUGGGAGGGGGAGAUGGAAUUAGUGGUGUAGGGGUAAAAUCCGUAGAUAUCACUAGGAAUACCUAAAGCGAAGGCGAUCUCCUGGAACAUUACUGACGCUAAGGCGUGAAAGCGUGGGGAUCAAACAGGAUUAGAUACCCCAUAGUC